rnacentral:rRNA from 1 species
AUUGAACGCUGGCGGCAGGCUUAACACAUGCAAGUCGAGCGGAGCGAGGGUGCUUGCACCUUAGCUUAGCGGCGGACGGGUGAGUAAUGCUUAGGAAUCUGCCUAUUAGUGGGGGACAACAUUCCGAAAGGAAUGCUAAUACCGCAUACGCCCUACGGGGGAAAGCAGGGGAUCUUCGGACCUUGUGCUAAUAGAUGAGCCUAAGUCGGAUUAGCUAGUUGGUGGGGUAAAGGCCUACCAAGGCGACGAUCUGUAGCGGGUCUGAGAGGAUGAUCCGCCACACUGGGACUGAGACACGGCCCAGACUCCUACGGGAGGCAGCAGUGGGGAAUAUUGGACAAUGGGCGGAAGCCUGAUCCAGCCAUGCCGCGUGUGUGAAGAAGGCCUUUUGGUUGUAAAGCACUUUAAGCGAGGAGGAGGCUACUUAGAUUAAUACUCUAGGAUAGUGGACGUUACUCGCAGAAUAAGCACCGGCUAACUCUGUGCCAGCCGCCGCGGUAACAC